CGGGGUCGAGCCUGAUCUGACUCGCGAGGGCGGCAGCAUCCCGGUCACCCUGACCUUCCAGGAGGCCACAGGCCGUAAUGUCAUGCUGCUUCCUGUAGGGUCCUCUGAUGAUGGAGCUCACUCUCAGAAUGAAAAGAUCAACAGAUCAAAUUACAUUCAGGGAGUCAAGCUGCUGGGAGCGUACUUCCAUGAGGUCUCUCUGCUGGAGUGAUUUGAUGGUGUCUCAUAAUGACAGGUGUAAAAUAUGCUCAUCCUUCAUGUCAGACCAUAAACUUUGUGGGUUUACCUUUCACAAUGAACGGUUUUAUACACCCUGCUGAUAAUAAACAUGUCUUUGUUACUUUC